CGACGUGAGGAACCUGCCUUCCAGAGGGGGACAACAGUUGGAAACGACUGCUAAUACCGCAUGACACAUGACCGUGGCAUCACGGACAUGUCAAAGAUUUAUCGCUGGAAGAUGGCCUCGCGUCUGAUUAGCUGGUAGGCGGGGUAACGGCCCACCUAGGCGACGAUCAGUAGCCGGACUGAGAGGUUGACCGGCCACAUUGGGACUGAGAUACGGCCCAGACUCCUACGGGAGGCAGCAG
rnacentral:rRNA from 1 species